AACGAACGCUGGCGGCGUGCCUAGCACAUGCAAGUCGAACGUGAAAGUCCUUCGGGAUGAGUAAAGUGGCGCACGGGUGAGUAACACGUAGGUGACCUGCCGUUUAGAGGGGGAUAACCAGAAGAAAUUUUGGCUAAUACCGCAUAAGAAGUACAAAUCUUAGAGUAGUACUUGAAAGAAUGCCUCUGUAUAUGCAUUCACUAAUCGAUGGGCCUGCGGUGCAUUAGCUAGUUGGUGGGGUAAUGGCCUACCAAGGCGACGAUGCAUAUCCGGUCUGAGAGGAUGAUCGGACACACUGGAACUGAGACACGGUCCAGACUCCUACGGGAGGCAGCAGUGGGGAAUAUUGCGCAAUGGAGGAAACCCUGACGCAGCAACGCCGCGUGAGUGAGGAAGGACUUCGGUCUGUAAAGCUCUGUUAAUGUGGAAAAAUGCUUAGUGGUCUAAUAGGCCAUUGAGUUGAUGGUACACAUAGAGGAAGCACCGGCUAACUUCGUGCCAGCAGCCGCAGUAAGAC
rnacentral:rRNA from 1 species